rnacentral:tRNA from 1 species
GUGGUGCAAACUGUUAACACACUUGGUUGCAAAUCAAGAGGUUGGUGGUUUGAGUCCACCC